rnacentral:rRNA from 1 species
AUUGAACGCUGGCGGCAGGCCUAACACAUGCAAGUCGAGCGAGUGGCGGACGGGUGAGUAAUGUAUGGGGAACUGCCCGAUAGAGGGGGAUAACUACUGGAAACGGUAGCUAAUACCGCAUACCAUCGGAUGUACCCAGAUGGGAUUAGCUAGUAGGUGGGGUAACGGCUCACCUAGGCGACGAUCCCUAGCUGGUCUGAGAGGAUGACCAGCCACACUGGAACUGAGACACGGCCCAGACUCCUACGGGAGGCAGCAGUGGGGAAUAUUGCACAAUGGGCGCAAGCCUGAUGCAGCCAUGCCGCGUGUAUGAAGAAGGCCUUAGGGUUGUAAAGUACUUUCAGCGAGGAGGCGUUACCCGCAGAAGAAGCACCGGCUAACUCCGUGCCAGCAGCCGCGGUAAUAC